CAGGCACAGGGAUGGGCCUUGCACAAGACACCCAGAGUCUGGCAUGGAUGGGCCACUCAAUGGUACUCAUUUGAACACAUCAUUCCAUGCUUCCUGGAAUAAUCACGCAGCUUGCUUAGAUUUUCUGAACAUGACUGAACUGUGAUGAAGCGAUCAACAUUCUCUGCCAAGACCCAGCUCCCGCCCAAUGAUCAGGACCACUUUACCUGGUACUAGACCACCCUGGUGGAGACCACCUGCCUGGAUGUGAACAUAUAUCCUUCUCUCAGACUCUGCAUGGUGAUGAUCUGCUGCCCACCCACUGAGGAAACACCUGCCACCCCUUUCUGGAUCUCUCUGACACUGUUUGCCUGUCCUCUCUGCUACAUAUCACCUGCCAUCAAAAUCCCUAGGUCUUCUAGUCCUGUCAUUCCCAAAAUUUACAAAGUCAUCAGAGAGAAGCUUCAAAGUAUAGAUUGUUAGGCUUCGUUUCUUGGGAUAUUCAGCCAAGUCUAGGGUGAUGUCCAGGAAUCUGUAGUUUUAAUGCUGCUGCUGAAUCGCUUCAGUCGUGUCCAAGUCUGUGCGAUCCCAUAGACGGCAGCCCACUAGGCUCCCCCGUCCCUGGGAUUCUCCAGGCAAGAACACUGGA